AAAUAGCUUUAGGGCUAGCCUCAAGGUGAGAGAUACGGAGGUAGAGCACUGAAUGUCCUAGGGGGUAUUGCACCUACCGAAGACUAUCAAACUCCGAAUGCCGUCAUCUUAUACUUGGGAGUCAGACGGUGGGUGAUAAGAUUCAUAGUCGAAAGGGCAACAGCCCAGAUCGUCAGCUAAGGUCCCUAAAUGUAAGUUAAGUGGUAAAGGAUGUGGGAUUGCACAGACAACCAGGAUGUUGGCUUAGAAGCAGCC
rnacentral:rRNA from 1 species